CUGACCAGGUGAUGCCUGAGUGAUGGUGGCCGGCUCCGCUCCUGGGGGAGCUGAAACUGUGAUUAGGUCUCGGUUUGGGACGGGGGCCUGGCAUAAGCGACUCCACUGGGCCUGCUGUCUUGUUUUUAACUCACUCUAAACGGCCUGCUGCCGCUGUCAGAGCCUGGGGAGUCACAGAUUUGCAGACUCACCCUCUGCUUCAAGUCUGUGAUUACAAUACGACCCUGGUGGAGCAGACUCCCGAGGACCAGCCAUCUGCGGAGUUAGGCAGCCCCCUCUCCGUGGGACCAGGACGACACGGCCUGUGGCCCCAAGACGCUGCGAUUAAUAAGAUAAAUGUGUUUGGGUUUUGUCCCGGUUCCCGGCACCGAGCUCCUGAGACCUCAGAAAUCCCUGGGUGAUGGGGUUUGUCGUUCGUAAGAGGCCCCUUCCAACCACACCUGAGUUCAUGCUGGUGCGGUGACUCUGGGAGGGUGGGGCUCCUGGGCUCCGAGCACAUCUGGUGCAGGAGGGCGCCGCACCCCAGCUCGGCCGGCACAGAGGCUUCUGUGCUAGGGACCCUCUGGGCCUCGGUCUACGUGCCUCUUCAUCUGGCUGUUCACGCGCAUCCUUUAUAACAAGCCAGGAAACACGAGCAAGUGUUUCUCUGAGUUCUGUGAGUGGCCCUGAGUGGAAGGAGGGGGACACGGUGACGUCAUCUCAUGUAGCUCCUGACACUAAGGAGGGUUUCGGGACGAGAAGGGCUUGGGGCUCCCCAAACCCACCCCACUAACAGUGCUCAGCCCCCGGGCCCAGCCGCUCUGGGAGGACGCGGUGCAGGUCACCCCCUCCGACGGCCUCGGUGCCCUUUGUGCAGACCUACGAGCUCCCCUCGCUUCGGGCACGGCAGCUCCUCUGCAUCGCAAGGCUGUGUCCCGACCCCUGGCCCCCCACGCCCCUCGUUCCUCUCCUGGCCGUCUGCCUGGCGUCCCCGGGGGGUGCUCAGCUCCAGCCCACCUGGCCCACAGAACAGUUUAUUCCCUCUCUCCCGGGGCCCAGGGUGUCCUGGGAAGGCCUGCCUAUUGCUCCCAAGCACAGCCGCACCCCCAAGGGAUUCUCCCCCCACCCAGUGAGGCCUCCUGGAGGAUGGAGGAGCCUCCUCCACUGUCACUUGCUGACUGACUCUCCCCACACGUGGCCGUCCAGGGUCGGCCACACAUGCUGUGCUCAAUCCAGGCCCCACAGCUGCUUUCUGACAUGAAAUUCCUACCUCCUUCAUGAAACCCCUCAGAAAGGCAAGGAAGAGAUCUGUGAUGAGCAGGUAUUUUAUUUCCUUUUAUGAAAUUAUUUCCAGCUGAAUAAUGUUAGUAAAAAUUCCAAAGAGAGAAUACAACAAAAUGUAUUUAGUAACUUUUUUUUUUUUGCUGAGGAAGAUUUGCCCUGAGUUAACAGCUGUGCCAGCCUUCCUCUGUUUUGUACAUGGGUUGCCGCCACAGCAUAGCCGCCCAUGAGAAGUGUAGGUCUGUGCCGGGAAGUGAACACAGGCUGCCGAAGUGGAGCACGUCGAACGAACUCAACCACCAGGCCGUGGGGGUGGCCCCAGUAACUUCUUCCUAAGGUAUCCACUUUAGAGGUGUUUAGUACACAAAGGAGGGUAACGCUGAGUAAACAGCUGUGGGUAAAUACAUAAUCAUAGUUAAAAGAUAAACAGCAAAGACGCCUCGUUAGAAAGACAAGGAAGCGACACUGAAUUUGUAAAAUUCUAGAUGACGACUUUCUGGGGCGAAGCGUCUGAAACAGAAGCACCUGGAGAGUCUUCAAGGGUGAGGGUCCCCUCAGGGAGUGUGCGUGUGGCUCACAGACGCAAAGAGCUGACAGGAGGUGUCAGUGGACACAAAGCAUCAAAGCCGCCACCUAAAGGUUAAUGUGAAAUAUCCUUUGUUUUUACUUAGUUUUAUUUAAAGUCCCGACGUCCAGGAGCCCACCAUCUUCUGCAGUGAUGUCCCCCCGGAGGCUCGUGGGCCACCGUCUGUGGAAAUGACGGCCGUGUGUGCAGAGUGAACCCCUGCUCCAGCAGCUCUCCUCCGACUGGAGGGUCUCGGUGUCACGUGAACACACACCGACCGCUGUCACAUCCUCGGACACGGCCGUUCUCGGCUCUUCUCUGUGGAGCUGCCCGGGGAACGGCGUUCGGGGUGGUGUUACCCGUGGCCGUCUGGUGGAUCCGGGGCAAGGCCCUGCAGCUGAGCCGGGGCCUGCCGUCUGGGUCACAGGCUCACCAGCACCCAAUGGACAUGCAGGGAUUCAGCAGACAGCACCCAAUGGACGUGCGGGCGACUCCCAACGGACAUGCGGGGCUCAGCGGGCAGCACCUAACAGAUGUGCGGGGCUCAGCAGGUGGUUCUCUGAAGCUGCAGCCUGGAGGAGAUUCUGACCAUUUUUUCCAACACUUAAAAUCAUACCACUUGUGCCUCCUCCAGCAGAGUUUCUGGUCUAUGUAAAAAUAGCAACAACCCCCACUGCUUCUUAUUUUAAAAAGGGAACGCCCAGUGAACAUAUUUUUAUCUCCUCUGUCUGUCCUCGUGGUCUUUGCCAAAUGUUGCCUUGAGUGCUUUGUGGAACAAAGUAUAAAGAAAGAAAGAGGGGCCGGCUCCGUGGCCGAGUGGUUAAGUUUGCGCACUCCGCUGCGGCGGCCCAGGGUUCGGAUCCUGGGCCCGGACAUGGCACCGCUCAUCCGGCCGCGUUGAGGCGGCGUCCCACAUCCCACAACAAGAUGGACCGGCAACUAAGAUAUACAACUAUGUACAGGAGGAGUUUGGGGAGAUAAAGCAGAAAAAAAAAAAAAAAAA
ensembl:lncRNA